AUGCUGACCAUAUGAUCCAUUCACGGUCAUUGAUAAAAAGAGAAAUUAUGGACUCAGAGCAACUACCAAGCAUCCUAUAUACGAAAAUUUCCGUGUCAAGUUUACAGGAGAACACCUCGACAAAAAGAGGAGGAUGGUUGGAACCAAAAAUCUCAGACCAUGCCUUGUAGAUCUACAUACACUAUUGGAGGGACGAGUCAGCAAGUGGACCACAAACUAGAAGAGGUGGAUGAAAAUUUCAACUAUGAGCGUGAGAAGUGAAUGAAACUAGAAGAGGAUGUGAAGAUUCUAAAUGAGAGGAUGUACGGGUUCAUGUCCCAUCAACAAUCCCAUGACUCAAGUCAUUAUGUUGUUUAGUCUCGUAGUCACGAUUCUGAAAAAUUAUGAGUUUGACCCUAGUUUGUAAUUCACUAGUAUAUUCUAAAGUCAUGACGACACCGAACUUCAUGUAAUUUGUAAAACUUAUUAAUAUGUCUAUAAAGAAUUGUUUUAUUUA